UACAGAGGUCCCAAGCGUUGUUCGGAUUCACUGGGCGUAAAGGGUGCGUAGGUGGUGAGGUAAGUCCGUGGUGAAAUCUCUGAGCUUAACUCAGAAACUGCCAUGGAUACUAUUUGUCUUGAAUAUUGUGGAGGUAAGCGGAAUAUGUCAUGUAGCGGUGAAAUGCUUAGAUAUGACAUAGAACACCAAUUGCGAAGGCAGCUUACUACACAGUUAUUGACGCUGAGGCACGAAAGCGUGGGGAUCAAACAGG
rnacentral:rRNA from 1 species